GACGUAGGGUGCGAGCGUUGCCCGGAUUUAUUGGGCGUAAAGGGCGCGUAGGCGGCCACGCACGUCCGUUGUGAAAUCGCCCGGCUCAACUGGGCGGGGUCAGCGGAUACGGCGUGGCUGGAGCAAGCUAGGGGGCAAUGGAAUUCCCGGUGUAGUGGUGGAAUGCGUAGAUAUCGGGAGGAACACCGGUGGCGAAGGCGGUUGCCUGGAGCUUUGCUGACGCUGAUGCGCGAAAGCGUGGGGAGCGAUCCGG
rnacentral:rRNA from 1 species